GAUGAACGCUGGCGGCGUGCCUAAUACAUGCAAGUCGAGCGAACAGACGAGGAGCUUGCUCCUCUGACGUUAGCGGCGGACGGGUGAGUAACACGUGGAUAACCUACCUAUAAGACUGGGAUAACUUCGGGAAACCGGAGCUAAUACCGGAUAAUAUAUUGAACCGCAUGGUUCAAUAGUGAAAGACGGUUUUGCUGUCACUUAUAGAUGGAUCCGCGCCGCAUUAGCUAGUUGGUAAGGUAACGGCUUACCAAGGCAACGAUGCGUAGCCGACCUGAGAGCGUGAUCGCCGACACUGGAACUGAGACAGGGUCCAGACUCCUACGGGAGGCAGCAGUAGGGAAUCUUCCGCAAAGGGCGAAAGCCUGACGGAGCAAAGCCGCGUGAGUGAUGAAGGUCUUCGGAUCGUAAAACUCUGUUAUUAGGGAAGAACAAAUGUGUAAGUAACUAUGCACGUCUUGACGGUACCUAAUCAGAAAGCCACGGCUAACUACGUG
rnacentral:rRNA from 1 species